UGGGGAAUUUUGGACAAUGGGCGAAAGCCUGAUCCAGCAAUGCCGCGUGUGUGAAGAAGGCCUUCGGGUUGUAAAGCACUUUUGUCCGGAAAGAAAUCCUUGGCUCUAAUACAGUCGGGGGAUGACGGUACCGGAAGAAUAAGCACCGGCUAACUACGUGCCAGCAGCCGCGGUAAUACGUAGGGUGCAAGCGUUAAUCGGAAUUACUGGGCGUAAAGCGUGCGCAGGCGGUUUGCUAAGACCGAUGUGAAAAUCCCCGGGCUCAACCUGGGAACUGUAUUGGUGACUGGCAGGCUAGAGUAUGGCAGAGGGGGGUAGAAUUCCACGUGUAGCAGUGAAAAUGCGUAGAGAUGUGGAGGAAUACCGAUGGCGAAGGCAGCCCCCUGGGCCAAUACUGACGCUCAUGCACGAAAAGCGUGGGGAGCAAAACAGGAUUAGAUACCCUGGUAGUCCACGCCCUAAAACUAUGUCAACUAGUUGUUGGGGAUUCAUUUCCUUAGUAACGUAGCUAACGCGUGAAGUUGACCGCCU
rnacentral:rRNA from 1 species